GGCUCCAUAGCUCAGUUGGUUAGAGCGUAGCACUGUUACUCCCGUUGACGGUCACAGGCAACCAGCACCAAGCUGCAGUCCUGGUGAUCAUACACACAUCCUCGUCCCGCCUCGUCUCAGAGCAAGGGCAACGGAAGUGAUGCUGAGGUCGGCGGUUCGAGCCCGCCUGGGGUCG
rnacentral:tRNA from 1 species